UCCGAUAUGGUCCAGCGGUCAGGAUUCCCGAUUCUCAUCACCGUUGGUGGCGGCAGUGGAUGGUAUGCUCGGGAGGCCAGGGUUCAACUCCCUGUAUCGGAA